rnacentral:rRNA from 1 species
UUGUUGGUAAGGUAAAAGCUUACCAAGGCUUCGAUCAGUAGCUGGUCUGAGAGGACGACCAGCCACACUGGGACUGAGACACGGCCCAGACUCCUACGGGAGGCAGCAGUGGGGAAUUUUGGACAAUGGGGGCAACCCUGAUCCAGCCAUGCCGCGUGAGUGAAGAAGGCCUUCGGGUUGUAAAGCUCUUUCAGCCGGAACGAAACGGUUACGGAUAACACCCGUGACUACUGACGGUACCGGAAGAAGAAGCACCAGCUAACUACGUGCCAGCAGCCGCGGUAAUACGUAGGGUGCGAGCGUUAAUCGGAAUUACUGGGCGUAAAGCGUGCGCAGGUGGUUUUGUAAGUCAGAUGUGAAAGCCCCGGGCUCAACCUGGGAACUGCGUUUGAAACUACAAGACUAGAGUGUGGCAGAGGGGGGUGGAAUUCCGCGUGUAGCAGUGAAAUGCGUAGAGAUGUGGAGGAACACCGAUGGCGAAGGCAGCCCCCUGGGUCAACACUGACGCUCAGGCACGAAAGCAUGGGGAGCAAACAGGAUUAGAUACCCUGGUAGUCCAUGCCCUAAACGAUGUCAACUAGUUGUCGGGCCUUUACGGGCUUGGUAACGUAGCUAACGCGUGAAGUUGACCGCCUGGGGAGUACGAUCGCAAGAUUAAAACUCAAAUGAAUUGACGGGGACCCGCACAAGCGGUGGAUUAUGUGGAUUAAUUCGAUGCAACGCGAAAAACCUUACCUACCCUUGACAUGUAUCGAAGCCCGCAGAAAAGCGGGGGUGCCCGAAAGGGAACGAUAACACAGGUGCUGCAUGGCUGUCGUCAGCUCGUGUCGUGAGAUGUUGGGUUAAGUCCCGCAACGAGCGCAACCCUUGUCAUUAAUUGCCAUCAUUUAGUUGGGCACUUUAAUGAGACUGCCGG